rnacentral:rRNA from 1 species
GACGAACGCUGGCGGCGUGCCUAACACAUGCAAGUUGAGCGACGAACCAGGGCUUGCCCUGGGGCAAAGCAGCGAACGGGUGAGUAACACGUGGGUAACCUGCCUCGAUGACCGGGACAACCAGAGGAAACUCGGGCUAAUACCGGAUGUGCCCUGCCGGCUCAAGCCGGCGUGGGGAAAGGAAGCUUCGGCCUCCGCGUCGACAGGGGCCCGCGGCCCAUUAGCUAGUUGGUGAGGUAAAGGCUCACCAAGGCAACGAUGGGUAGCUGGUCUGAGAGGACGAUCAGCCACACUGGGACUGAGACACGGCCCAGACUCCUACGGGAGGCAGCAGUGGGGAAUUUUGGACAAUGGGGGCAACCCUGAUCCAGCCAUGCCGCGUGAGUGAAGAAGGCCUUCGGGUUGUAAAGCUCUUUUGGUCGGGAAGAAAGUGCCCUGCUUAAUACGCGGGGUAUUUGACGGUACCGGCAGAAUAAGCACCGGCUAACUACGUGCCAGCAGCCGCAGUAA